rnacentral:tRNA from 1 species
GCGGCAGUAGCUCAGUAGGUAGAGUACAACCCUCCCACGGUUGGGGUCGCGAGUUCGAGCCUCGUCUGCCGCU